AGAGCGAACGCUGGCGGCAGGCCUAACACAUGCAAGUCGAGCGCCCGUAGCAAUACGGGAGCGGCAGACGGGAUAGUAACACGUGGGAACGCGCCCUUCGGUUCGGAAUAACUCAGGGAAACUUGAGCUAAUACCGGAUACGCCCUUACGGGGAAAGAUUUAUUGCCGAAGGAACGGCCCGCGUCCGAUUAGCUAGUUGGUGAGGUAAUGGCUCACCAAGGCGACGAUCGGUAGCUGGUCUGAGAGGAUGACCAGCAUCACUGGGACUGAGACACGGCCCAGACUCCUACGGGAGGCAGCAGUGGGGAAUAUUGGACAAUGGGCGCAAGCCUGAUCCAGCCAUGCCGCGUGGAUGAUGAAGGCCCCAGGGUUGUAAAGCUCUUUUGUGCGGGAAGAUAAUGACGGUACCGCAAGAAUAAGCCCCGGCUAACUUCGUGCCAGCAGCCGC
rnacentral:rRNA from 1 species